rnacentral:rRNA from 1 species
AGAGUUUGAUCCUGGCUCAGAUUGAACGCUGGCGGCAGGCCUAACACAUGCAAGUCGAGCGGAUGAGUGGAGCUUGCUCCAUGAUUCAGCGGCGGACGGGUGAGUAAUGCCUAGGAAUCUGCCUGGUAGUGGGGGACAACGUUUCGAAAGGAACGCUAAUACCGCAUACGUCCUACGGGAGAAAGCAGGGGACCUUCGGGCCUUGCGCUAUCAGAUGAGCCUAGGUCGGAUUAGCUAGUUGGUGAGGUAAAGGCUCACCAAGGCGACGAUCCGUAACUGGUCUGAGAGGAUGAUCAGUCACACUGGAACUGAGACACGGUCCAGACUCCUACGGGAGGCAGCAGUGGGGAAUAUUGGACAAUGGGCGAAAGCCUGAUCCAGCCAUGCCGCGUGUGUGAAGAAGGUCUUCGGAUUGUAAAGCACUUUAAGUUGGGAGGAAGGGCAGUAAGUUAAUACCUUGCUGUUUUGACGUUACCGGCAGAAUAAGCACCGGCUAACUUCGUGCCAGCAGCCGCGGUAAUACGAAGGGUGCAAGCGUUAAUCGGAAUUACUGGGCGUAAAGCGCGCGUAGGUGGUUCGUUAAGUUGAAUGUGAAAGCCCCGGGCUCAACCUGGGAACUGCAUCCAAAACUGGCAAGCUAGAGUAUGGCAGAGGGUGGUGGAAUUUCCUGUGUAGCGGUGAAAUGCGUAGAUAUAGGAAGGAACACCA